rnacentral:rRNA from 1 species
GUUUGAACCUGGCUCAGGACGAACGCUGGCGGCGUGCUUAACACAUGCAAGUCGAACGGUGAUGUCAGAGCUUGCUCUGGCGGAUCAGUGGCGAACGGGUGAGUAACACGUGAGUAACCUGCCCCCGACUCUGGGAUAACUGCUAGAAAUGGUAGCUAAUACCGGAUAUGACGACUGGCCGCAUGGUCUGGUCGUGGAAAGAAUUUCGGUUGGGGAUGGACUCGCGGCCUAUCAGGUUGUUGGUGAGGUAAUGGCUCACCAAGCCUACGACGGGUAGCCGGCCUGAGAGGGUGACCGGCCACACUGGGACUGAGACACGGCCCAGACUCCUACGGGAGGCAGCAGUGGGGAAUAUUGCACAAUGGGCGCAAGCCUGAUGCAGCAACGCCGCGUGAGGGAUGACGGCCUUCGGGUUGUAAACCUCUUUUAGUAGGGAAGAAGCGAAAGU